AACGUCGUGAGACAGUUCGGUCCCUAUCUGCCGUGGGCGCUGGAGAACUGAGGGGGGCUGCUCCUAGUACGAGAGGACCGGAGUGGACGCAUCACUGGUGUUCGGGUUGUCAUGCCAAUGGCACUGCCCGGUAGCUAAAUGCGGAAGAGAUAAGUGCUGAAAGCAUCUAAGCACGAAACUUGCCCCGAGAUGAGUUCUCCCUGAGACUUAGAGUCUCCUGAAGGAACGUUGAAGACGACGACGUUGAUAGGCCGGGUGUGUAAGCGCAGCGAUGCGUUGAGCUAACCGGUACUAAUGAACCGUGAGGCUUAACCUUAC
rnacentral:rRNA from 1 species